rnacentral:pre_miRNA from 1 species
GGCCCGUGUGGCUGGGCGGUGACUGGCGCUAUAUUCGGUUUGUGUGCGAUAUUGCACCAGUCCCGGCCUAUCCAAGCGGGCC